rnacentral:tRNA from 1 species
AGGUGACAUAGUGGAUAGUGUGUUGGACUUGAAAUCCAAAAGACUUGAGUUCAAAUCCUCCCU